rnacentral:misc_RNA from 1 species
AAGUCGUAACAAGGUUUCCGUAGGUGAACCUGCGGAAGGAUCAUUAUUGAAUUCUUUUUGAUGUGAGAAGGAUUGGGGGUUGGUUUGACGAAUUUGUUGAGCUGCCUUUGGUGUUUUCUUGCAAUCACAAUAUCCGUGAACUUGUUAAUUUGAAAAAAUGACUUUGCUUGGUGGGAACUUUGCUUAGGUAAAGCCCGCCAUCAGUCUAUUUUAUCAACAUCAUUUUUUAUUUAUUACGUCUGAAACAUAUAAAACAAACCAAAAGUUAAAACUUUCAACAACGGAUCUCUUGGUUCUC